rnacentral:lncRNA from 1 species
AAGACAGUGCACCACAAUCCAGGGGAUUUCAUUCCAGGGAUACAAGGUUGGUUCAACAUAUGGAAAGCAAUAAUUAUAAUUCACCACAUAAAUAGACUUAAAGACAGUAAUCACAUGAUUAUCUCAAUAGAUGCAGAAAAAGCAUUUGAAAAAUAUAAAAGCAUCCAUUCAUGUUUAAAACAUGAGAAAAAUUAUGGAUAGUAGGAAUAUACAUCAACAUUGUAGGAGCAAUAUACAACAAACCUAAGGCCAACAUUUUUCUAAAUGAAGAAAACUAACAACUUGUUCCUCUAACAACUGGAACAAGACAGGGAUGUCCUCUUUCACUACUUCUGUUCACUGUGGUCCUUGAAACUCCAGCCAUAGCAUUUAGGCAAAAGAAAGAAAUGAAAGGGAUAUGAAUAGGAAAAGAAGAGCUCAAACUCUCUCUGUUUGCCCAUGACACGAUCCUAUAUUUAGAAGACCCCCAAAUUAUUCCACCAGAAAACUUAUAGAACUUAUAAUUGAAUUCAGCAAAAUAGCAGGAUACAAAAUUAACACCCAUAAAUCAAUUGCAUUCCUAUAUAGCAGUGAUGAAUCAGCUAAAAGAGAAAUUAGGGAAACUAUCCCAUUCACAAUAGUAAAAAAAAAAAAAUACUUGGGGAUCAAUCUAACAAGAGGUGAAAUACCUCUACAAUGAAAACUACAGAACCCUAAAGAAAGAAAUUGAAGAAAACCUUAGAAGAGAGAAAGAUCUCCCAUUUUCUUGGAUAGUCAGAAUGAAUAUUGUCAAAACGGCCAUAAUAUUAAAAGUACCAUACAGAUUUAAUACAAUUCCUAUUGAAAUUCCAAUGACAUUUUUCAUAGAAAUAGAAAAAGCAGUUAUGAAAUUCAUUUGGAAAAAUAAGAGGCCCAGAAUAACCAAAGCAAUCCUUAGCAAGAAAAGUGAAGAAGACAGUAGAAUGAAUUGGACAUAACUUUCCUAUGUUCCGACAGGAAUACAUGACCAGUGUAAUUCCACAUCAUGUACAACCACAAGAAUGGGAAUUUAUACUCCACGUAUGUAUAAUAUGUCAAAGUACAUUCUACUGUUUUGUAUAACUAAAAAUAAUGAAGAAGAAGAAAAAAAAAAGGCCAUGAAACAGGAGAAAUCACAAUAUCAGACCUUAGAUUAUACUACAGAGCCAGACCUUAGAUUAUACUACAGAGCUGUAAUAACAAAACCAGCAUGGUAUUGGCACCAAAACACACAUGAAGGUCAAUGGAAUAGAAGACACAGAGAAAAACCCACAUAAAUAGUUAUCUUCAACUAGACAAAGGCUCCAAAAACAUAUAUUGGAGAAAAGAUAGCCUCUUCAGCAAAUGGUGCUGGGAAAACUGGAAAUCUAUAUGUAAUGGAAUGAAGUUUAACGUCUCUCAUCAUGCACAAAACUCAAAGUGGAUCAAAGAGCUAGUCAUUAGACCAGAGGCCCUGCACCUACUAGAAGAAAAUGUAGGCCCGCCACUUCAACAUGUUGGCUUAUGAACUGAUUUCCUCAACGUGAUUCCUAAAAUGCAAGAAGUAAAUUAAAAAAUCAGUAAAUGGGGUGGCAUCAAAUUAACAAGUUUCUUCACAGCAAAGGAAAUGAGUUCGAAAAGAGAGCCUACAUAAUGGGAGACAAUCUUUGCCACCUGCAUUAAUUUCUAGGGUAUACAAAGAACUCAAAAAGCUUAACACCAGAGGCUGCGGAUGUGGCUCAAGCGGUAGCGCGCUCGCCAGGCAUACGUGCGGCCCGGGUUCGAUCCUCAGCACCACGUAACAAACGAAGAUUUAAAAAAAAAAAAAAAAGCUUAACACCAAUAACACAAAUAAUCCAAUCAAAAAUGGGCAAAGGAGGGCUGGGGAUGUGGCUCAAGCGGUAGCGCACUCACCUGGCAUGCGCAGGGCGCUGGGUUCGAUCCUCAGCACAUAAAAAUAAAAUAAAGAUGUUGUGUCCACCGAAAACUAAAAAAAUAAAUAUUAAAAAACUCACUCUUUUUUAAAAAAAAUGGGCAAAGGAACUAAACAGACACUUCUCAAAAGAAAAAAAUAUGAUUGGUCAGCAUCUCUAGCUUAGAGAAAUGUAAAUUAAAAGUACAUUGAGAUUUUGUCUCACUCCAAUCAGAAUAGCAAUUACCUCUUGGUAAUUACAAGUAAAAAUGUUGGCAAGGACUUCUGGAAAAGGGUACACUUAUACAUUGCUGGUGGGACUGCAAAUUGAUGCAACCACUAUGGAAAACAGUAUGGAGAUUCCUCAAAACACUAGACUGGAACCAUUUGACCCAAUUAUCCUACUCUUCAGUAUGUAUUUAGAGGAGAUAAAAUCAGCAUAAUACAGUGACACAGUCACAUCAAUGUUUAUAGCAGCACAAGUCAAAAUAACUAAGCUAUGUAACCAGCCUACAUGUCCAUUAACAGAUGAAUGGAUAAAGAUUUUGUGGUAUAUAUACACAAUGGAUUAUUAUUCAACCAUAAAGAAGAAUGAUUUUAUGACAUUCAUCAGUAAAUGGGUGAACCUGGAUACCAUCAUGGUAAGUAAAUAAACCAAUACUCCAAAACCAAAGGGCGAAUGUUCUUUCUGAUAAACAUUUCUUGUACAAUUAUAAUGCACAGAUAAAAAUAUGGAAAAUAUAGUCAGACAGUAAAAAGUGUGUAUAAUUAUCCCAUAAAAAUAUUACAAUUAUGUCAAAACAAAAAAAAAACUAAUAAAAUGUUUUGCUCUGUGAAAGAUUCUGUUAAGAUGAUGAAGUUUGGGCUGGGGAUGUGGCUCAAGCGGUAGUGCGCUCGCCUGGCAUGCACGGGGCGCUGGGUUCAAUCCUCAGCACCACAUAAAAAAAAAAUAAAGAUGUUGUGUCCACUGAAAACUAAAAUAUAAAUAUUAAAAAUUUCUCUCUCUCUCUUAUACAAAAAAAAAAAGAUGAUGAAGUUUCAUACAGAGAGAAAAUAUUUGCAAGCUACGGAUCCAAUUAAGGACAAGAAUCUAGAAUAUAAAAAAUAUUCUCAAAACUAACCAACAAACUCUAAUUAAAAUAGGCAAAAGGCAUGAAGAGGCAUUUCACCAAAGGAUAUACAGAUGGUAAAUAAGUACACAAAAAGAUGUUCAACAUCAUCAGCCAUUAGAGAAAUACAAGUUAAAAACCACCAUGAGGUAUCAUCACACACCUUUUGGAAUGGCUAAAAUGAAAAAGUGACAUCAUCAAACAUUAGUGGGGAUGCAGAGAAACUGGAUCACUAUACAUUGCUUGUGAGGAUGGAAAAUUGUGCAGCCACUCUGGAAAACACUUUGGCAGUUCUUUUAAAAUUACCAAACAUGCACCUACCAUGCAACCCACUAAUUCCUGGGUAAUAAAACGCAAAGACAUAAAAACAUGUCUGAAAUGUUAUAGCAAUUUAACUUGUAAUAGCUAAAAAUUGGAAACCAUUCAGAUGUCAUUCAACAGAUGACUGCUUCAAUAAACUGAUAUAUCUGUGAAACACUAUUCAGCAAUAAAAAGCAAACUUUUGCUUUAUUUAUUUAUUUAUUUAUUUUUGUGUGUGUGCCGGAAUCAUAUCCAGGGUCUCGUGAGUGCUAAGCACAUAUUCUUCCACUGAGCUGCAUCCUCAACCCAGCAUGUGUUUGAGUGUGUUUCUGGAUUUUCAUUGUCUGUACAUAUAUUCAUGUACAGGUACCACACUGUGUUAAUAGUUGAUACAGUUAAUUCUCUCAUUGUGCUUUUUUCAGAAUGGUACUAUAGCACAGAAUUAGCAUCUCAACCAACAACCUGGUCACACUUCUAAAAUUCCCACUUGUGGCUCUUUCUGAGUUUUCUAUUCAGUUCCAUUGAUCUGUUUGCAUGUUCUUAUAAAAUUACCUUACUAUUUAAAUUUUCAUAGUGUUAUAAUUUAAUAUUAUAAAGUAUUUAUAAUAUACAUAUAUUUUAAUAUAUAUAUUUAAUAUGUGAUAAUACUGUCUAGUAAUGUGUAAUAUAUAGCAUUAAUAUAUGUAAUAAAAUAUUAAAUCUCAUAGGAUCAGUGCAUUUUUUGGUAAAAAUUUAGAGACAUAGAAUACAAUGUUAAAGCUUUCUUUACUGAUCACAUCUCACCCCAUUUUGCUCCCCCAAGAUAAUUCUUCACAGAUGAUUUAUAUCCUUAAGACUUAAUCUUUUAUUCAUGCAUUUAAUAUCAAUACACUUAUAUAUGUGUAUCAGACACAUAUAUAAGUGUAUUGAGUUCAUUUUCUGAUAACACUAAUGACAUCAUAAUACAACCAUUUUUUUAAAUACAAAAUACCAUCAAUAAUAAUAAUGUACCACAUGCUGCCAAGAAGAGAAUAUACUGCCUGUUAAAUAUGACCCAAUGCUAUCUUUUCACUAAAUUUUUAUUUUACACUUAUUGAAAGAGUUUUAGACUCUUUUACAUGUAGUUUUUUCUUUCUUUCUUUUUUUUGUGUGUGUGUUUGUGUGUGUCCUAUCUCAUGUUCCUGUGAGAUGGAAAAUAUAAAUGAAAUCAGUUAAUUGUUAAUUAAUAAAUUUGUUAAUGUUCAAAAUGGUACUCUCCUGAGUGACUUCU